rnacentral:rRNA from 1 species
GACAGAGGGUGCAAACGUUGUUCGGAAUUACUGGGCGUAAAGCGCGUGUAGGCGGUCUGAUAAGUCGGGUGUGAAAGCCCUGGGCUCAACCCAGGAAGUGCACUCGAAACUGUCAGGCUAGAGUAUCGGAGAGGUUGGUGGAAUUCUCGGUGUAGAGGUGAAAUUCGUAGAUAUCGAGAGGAACACCGGUGGCGAAGGCGGCCAACUGGACGAAUACUGACGCUGAGACUCGAAAGCGUGGGGAGCAAACAGG